rnacentral:ncRNA from 1 species
CCCCCUGUGAAGACGCCCUAACAUUCUCCCCACCCGGAAAUAAGGAGCUGGUAUCAGGCACAUACUAUUAGCCCAUGACACCUUGCUUUGCCACACCCCCAAGGGACUUCAGCAGUGAUAAACAUUAAGCUAUAAGUGAAAGCUUGACUUAGUUAAAGUUUAGAGGGCCGGUAAAACUCGUGCCAGCCGCCGCGGUCACACGAGAGGCCCAAGUUGAUAGCUACCGGCGUAGAGCGUGGUUAGAAAAUAGAAUCACUAAGACCAAAUACUUUUAGUGCUGUCAUACGCAUUCAAGAGUUAGAAGCCCAACUACGAAAGUAAUCUUAAUUAUUUUGAACCCACGAAAGCUAUGACACAAACUGGGAUUAGAUACCCCACUAUGCAUAGCCGUAAACAUCGAUAAUUCAAUACACUAGUUAUCCGCCUGGGUACUACGAGCGUCAGCUUAAAACCCAAAGGACUUGACGGUGCUUUAGAUCCACCUAGAGGAGCCUGUUCUGGAACCGAUAAUCCCCGUUUAACCUCACCUUUCCUUGUUUGUACCGCCUAUAUACCGCCGUCGUCAGCUUACCCUCUGAAGGUCUAAUAGUAAGCAAAACUGGCAAAGCCCAAAACGUCAGGUCGAGGUCUAGCGUAUGGAAAGGGAAGAAAUGGGCUACAUUCUCUUCUAAAGAGAACACGAAUUAUGUACUGAAAUAUACAUUUGAAGGAGGAUUUAGCAGUAAGUAGAAAAUAGAGUGCUCUACUGAAAUUGGCCCUGAAGCGCGUACACACCGCCCGUCACUCUCCCCAAAAAACCUUAAUUUAAAUAAUUAAUACAAUAUCACAAUAAAGGGGAGGCAAGUCGUAACAUGGUAAGUGUACCGGAAGGUGCACUUGGACAAAU